CACGGCCUAUCAGCUUGUUGGUGAGGUAGCGGCUCACCAAGGCUCCGACGGGUAGCUGGUCUGAGAGGACGAUCAGCCACACUGGGACUGAGACACGGCCCAGACUCCUACGGGAGGCAGCAGCAGGGAAUAUUGCACAAUGGGCGCAAGCCUGAUGCAGCGACGCCGCGUGAGGGAUGACGGCCUUCGGGUUGUAAACCUCUUUCAGGAGGGACGAAGCGAAAGUGACGGUACCUCCAGAAGAAGCCCCGGCCAACUACGUGCCAGCAGCCGCGGUAAUACGUAGGGGGCGAGCGUUGUCCGGAUUCAUUGGGCGUAAAGAGUUCGUAGGCGGCUCAGUAAGUCGGCCGUGAAAGCCCGGGGCUCAACCCCGGGACGCCGGUCGAUACUGCUGUGGCUAGGGUCCGGUAGAGGAGAGUGGAAUUCCCGGUGUAGCGGUGAAAUGCGCAGAUAUCGGGAGGAACACCAGUAGCGAAGGCGGCUCUCUGGGCCGGUACCGACGCUGAGGAGCGAAAGCUAGGGGAGCAAACAGGAUUAGAUACCCUGGUAGUCCUAGCCGUAAACGUUGGGCACUAGGUGUGGCGGAUUCAUUGACAUCUGCCGUGCCGAAGCUAACGCAUUAAGUGCCCCGCCUGGGGAGUACGG
rnacentral:rRNA from 1 species